GAUGAACGCUAGCGGCAGGCUUAACACAUGCAAGUCGAGGGGCAGCAUACCCGGCGACGGGUGAUGGCGACCGGCGGAAGGGUGAGUAACGCGUGAGCAACAUACCCGUAUCAGUGGGAUAAUACAGGGAAACUUGUUCUAAUAUCACAUAAUAUUAUUCAGAGGCAUCUUUGGAUAAUUAAAGUUCAGGCGGAUACGGAAUGGCUCGCGUGACAUUAGCUAGAUGGUAGGGUAAAGGCCUACCAUGGCUAUGAUGUCUAGGGGUUCUGAGAGGGAGGUCCCCCACACUGGAACUGAGACACGGUCCAGACUCCUACGGGAGGCAGCAGUGAGGAAUAUUGGACAAUGGAUGAAAAUCUGAUCCAGCCAUGCCGCGUGCAGGAAGGCGGCCCUAUGGGUUGUAAACUGCUUUUGUACGGGAGCAAUAAGGUCUACGAGUAGAUUGAUGAGAGUACUGUACGAAUAAGCAUCGGCUAACUCCG
rnacentral:rRNA from 1 species